rnacentral:rRNA from 1 species
AUGGACAGUAGACUCUGCUUGGACUUGGAAGCUAAGCAAGCCCAGAUCUGGUUAGGUUCUGUAUGGGAGACCAGCUGAGAAUCCCAGAGCAAUUAGUU